UACGAAGGGGGGCUAGCGUUGCUCGGAAUCAUUGGGCGUAAAGAGCGCGUAGGCGGUCCGGUAAGUCCGCUCUGAAAGUCCGGGGGCUCAACCCCGGGAGGCGGGCGGAUACUGUCGGGCUAGAGUCCGGAAGAGGCGAGUGGAAUUCCUGGUGUAGCGGUGAAAUGCGCAGAUAUCAGGAGGAACACCAAUGGCGAAGGCAGCUCGCUGGGACGGUACUGACGCUGAGGCGCGAAAGCGUGGGGAGCAAACAGG
rnacentral:rRNA from 1 species